AUGAGUGUUGUGGAUCAAUAAAGAAUUUAAGAUGGGUUGGAGAGUGUUAUGCUUAUGCAUGUUUCUUGGGGCAUUAUUUAUGUUAUUCAAUGCCCAAAAUGCAUUUGUUAGUUGUGCUCUGACUUCUCAAUUGCAAGAAGAAAUCACAAGAAUCAACGGAGAAGGGCCUUAUAUAGGUUUGGUCAUACCAAAUUCUUUUGAACUCAAUCCUCUUCUUCAAAAUCCAGCCUACACUCCGAGUGAAAAUAUUAUUGACUUUGCAGGAAGGAGAUUCCGCUUUGGAUCCAUUGGCGAUAAGCCUGUUAUAUUGGUCAUGACUGGAUUGAGUACAUGUUUGGGCAUAAAUGCAGCAAUUACUACACAGCUUCUUUUAAGCAUUUUCAACAUAGAAGGAGUAAUGCAUUACGGCAUUGCUGGAAAUGCAAACCCAUCCUUGAAUAUUGGAGAUGUUGCAAUUCCUCAAUUUUGGGCUCAUUUGAUUUUAAUUUUAUAAUUAUAUUUUUUUACUAGAUAUGGAGAAGGGCCUAGUAAUACAUUACCCUUGGAACAAAAUGGAGACUACACAAGAAACGUAGGGUACCUAAAAUUUGGAGAUUUCAUGUCAAAUGUAAGUUGGGGAGAUUCAUUUGAUAACCUUCUAAACAGAAUAUGGUACCAACCAGAAGAGGUAUUUCCAGUUGAUGGAAUUCCAGAACAAAGGCAACACGCUCUCUGGGUUCCUGUUGAUUAUAAUUACUACCAAAUUGCUACCAGGCUGAAGAAGUUGAAACUUGAUGCAUGCAUAAACUCAACAACAUGCUUGUCCACAACACCAAAAGUGGAAAUGGUUGAAAGAGGAGCAAGUGCAAGCAUAUACAUAGACAAUGCAGCAUAUAGAAGCUUCAUCUACAAGAAGUUCCAUGUCACCCCGGUGGAGAUGGAAAGUGCAUCGGUGGCACUCAUUUGCCUCCAACAAAGGGUCCCUUUCAUUGUCAUUAGGGCUCUCUCCGACCUGGCCGGCGGCGGCUCCUCCGACUCCAAUGAGGCCGACAUAUUUGCGCCGCUUGCUGCCACCAAUUCGGUUAAGGUCGUUAUUGAGUUUAUCAAGCUUUUGCCAUCAAAAAGCCCUAAGUGGUCGCCCAUGUAACAAUAAUAAUGUUUGUUUGUUUUUCUAGGGUUUUAAUAUUAUUAUUCCAUGCAUUCCUGAUGCAAAAAACAUGUGGACCUUAUAUCUCCUUUAAAUUGAGAAUAAGCAUCUUAGUGAAACCUGAAAAUAAUAUCUUAUCUA